GAUGAACGCUGGCGGCGUGCCUAACACAUGCAAGUCGAGCGAUUCUCUUCGGAGAAGAGCGGCGGACGGGCGAGUAACGCGUGGGUAACCUGCCCUGUACACACGGAUAACAUACCGAAAGGUAUGCUAAUACGAGAUAAUAUGCUUUUAUCGCAUGGUAGAAGUAUCAAAGCUCCGGCGGUACAGGAUGGACCCGCGUCUGAUUAGCUAGUUGGUAAGGUAACGGCUUACCAAGGCGACGAUCAGUAGCCGACCUGAGAGGGUGAUCGGCCACAUUGGAACUGAGACACGGUCCAAACUCCUACGGGAGGCAGCAGUGGGGAAUAUUGCACAAUGGGCGAAAGCCUGAUGCAGCAACGCCGCGUGAGCGAUGAAGGCCUUCGGGUCGUAAAGCUCUGUCCUCAAGGAAGAUAAUGACGGUACUUGAGGAGGAAGCCCCGGCUAACUACGUGCCAGCCGCCGCCGUAA
rnacentral:rRNA from 1 species